rnacentral:rRNA from 1 species
UACGAAGGGGGCUAGCGUUGCUCGGAAUUACUGGGCGUAAAGCGCACGUAGGCGGAUUGUUAAGUCGGGGGUGAAAUCCUGGAGCUCAACUCCAGAACUGCCUUCGAUACUGGCGAUCUCGAGUCGGGAGAGGUGAGUGGAACUGCGAGUGUAGAGGUGAAAUUCGUAGAUAUUCGCAAAGAACACCAGUGGCGAAGGCGGCUCACUGGCCCGAUACUGACGCUGAGGUGCGAAAGCGUGGGGAGCAAACAGG